GGCUGGACCCAGUGACCGGUGUCUAACAGAAGUGACUAGAUGUCAUUUCCAUGGUUAGGUUACACAUGAUUGUGACUUCAGUCUUACUCUCUCCCCUUCUCACUUGAUCAUCAGUGGAGCCGGCUGCCAUGUUAUGAGCUGUUUGUGGACGGGUGAUGUACCAUUGGCAGCCUCGCCCAGCGGCCAGCAAGAAGCUGAGUCUCUCAUUCUGACAGCCUCGGGGAUCUGAAAUCUAUCAACAACCAUUCAAGGUGUUCCACAAUCUAAUCCAAACUGACCUGGCCACUCCAACCUGGAGAGAAGGGGAGGGAACCAUGAUGAAUGUGGACACCAGUUGAGACACUUGUGAAAACACCCAGGAGGUCAUGUGGGCGAGCUCUAAUCCCAUAUGACCGUGUCCUCAGAAGAGGAGCUUAGGACACAGACACAGAGGGAAGGCCGUGUGAGGACACAGGGAGAAGAUGCAUCUGCAGGCCAAGGAGAGAGCCCUUGGAUCAAAGCAAGCCUACUGAUGCCUCGAUCUCAGACUUCCCGCUUCCAAAGGUGUGAGGAAAUAAACGUCUGUGACAUAA